UACGGGGGGGGCAAGCGUUGUCCGGAAUUACUGGGCGUAAAGGGCUCGUAGGCGGCCAGCUAAGUCAGACGUGAAAUCCCUCGGCUUAACCGGGGAACUGCGUCUGAUACUGGAUGGCUUGAGUUUGGGAGAGGGAUGCGGAAUUCCAGGUGUAGCGGUGAAAUGCGCAGAUAUCAGGAGGAACACCGAUUGCGAAGGCAGCUCGCUGGAACGUUACUGACGCUGAGACGCGAAAGCGUGGGGAGCAAACAGG
rnacentral:rRNA from 1 species